rnacentral:rRNA from 1 species
UACGUGGGGGCAAGCGUUGUCCGGAUUUCUUGGGCGUAAAGAGCGUGUAGGCGGCUUUACAGGUCCGUUGUGAAAACUCGAGGCUCAACCUCGAGACGCCGGUGGAAACCGUAAAGCUAGAGUCCGGAAGAGGAGAGUGGAAUUCCUGGUGUAGCGGUGAAAUGCGCAGAUAUCAGGAGGAACACCCGUGGCGAAAGCGGCUCUCUGGGACGGUACUGACGCUGAGACGCGAAAGCGUGGGGAGCAAACAGG